ensembl:lncRNA
GGUGCUGAGAUUGCGUCAUUAAUCCCUAACCAGGAGCAGCUGCGUAGGAAAAAAACUUUUCCCAGUUUCGAAAGAUUUUAGCCAAACGCGUCGAAGAAACUGGAUAAGGUGAAAGAGACAGGUGUAUGCUGGUGUAUUUAAAAUAACAAGUUCAACAGCAUCAGCGGAAAUUAAGGCAGACUGCCAAAAUUUGCCCCAAAAGAAACUGAUGACCAAAGUGGGCCAGACAAACAACACAUUGAAAGUCAGGAUAAAUCCAGAGCAGAGAAAGUGUUCCUCCAAGGUUCAAGUGAGCAGAAGGACUGGUCAGAUGGUCCAAUGAAAAAAUGAGUCCCUCAGUUCACAUGUGGUAUCAUUCAGCUGGGACAGAACAGCUAACACCAGAUGUCGACUCUAGCCCAGGAAGAGGAUUCCAUCCCAGAAAGAAGUCUCCAAUUCAGGAUGAGGAAUGCAGUUCAACAGACCAGUCCAGUACAGGAAUAAUAAAACACUCGUAUUGUUGGCUAAAGGAAGAAUUGCAGAUCUGGAGCAAGCAGCAAGUGAUUGUGUAUUACUCCCAAGACUGCUGAACUGACUCCUAAAAUCAGCACACUUAGGUAUAGAGCUACAGCAAGGCCAUUAGCCUAGUUUAACCUAAGCACUUGAAGCAAGGGAGGCAAUUCCAUUUUACAAUUUUACUAACUUGUAACUUUCUUUAUUCUCAUAUUUCAUCAAAAAUCAUCAUUGUAUCUAUUCUAUAGUGUUCAUAACUACUGAUUAUUGCUGCUCUGCAUGUGAAUUUGUAACAGAAAUUGCUUGUGGUUAGUAUUGCUUGGCUAUGUUUGGUUGCAUUGUGCUGCUUGUAUGUUUGUAUAUGCAGAAGUUGUUCGUUGUAAUUAUCUCAUUAAAGUUUUACUGCCAACAGUG